CUUUCAGUACGUGCCCAAGCUGACUGGUGCCCUUAUGGAGGAGAUAGAGAGAAUUCUGGGUAACAAGCCCCACCCCCGGGACUACGGCAGUGUGUCUAGACCAGCCUCGCCCAGCAUCCGACCAAAGUCAAAGUCAAGGAAAUCCUCAAGGGGAAGAAGAAGGAUCGUGUUUUAAAGCUACAUGUGAUACAGUCAGCUUAGCUGGGGUCAGUCUGGCAACGCUUGUCACAUUGGUCAGCAAGAUGACUUGAUAGGAUUCAAACUAAACUAGACUAAAUUGACCUAUAUCAAUUUGACCUAUAUGAAAUCGAGCUACAUCAAAUUGACCUACAUCUAAUUGACCUAUAUCAAUUUACCUACAUCAAAUUGACCUACAUCAAAUUGACCUACAUCUGGUUGACCCGUAUUAAUUACACUUUUUUCUCAACUUGAGCUUUUUUAAUUGCACCAUAUAGCUUAGAGGCUGUCACUGUCUACGUCAAAUAUUCGACUGGAUCUAACAUAACACUUCUUAUGGGAAUUACUUCCACACCUUAUAGACCUACUACCACACCUUAUACUUGCAGAGGAAACACAAAAUGUAGACCUAUUAAUAAGUUGAGAUCCAACAACGAACAAAACAAAAAAAUUACUUACCACAGCGUCAAUCUCCAAUCAACUAGGCCUAACAUUAACUGCUGUAGAAAGGUUCUCACUUGAAAUCUGUUUCCGUCCUUGGCGAUACGCAAUAUCAGACAUGACACUGACAUUCGACUGACAUCAAAGACACAUUAUCUUGUUAACGUUGAUACCACCCAGAUUCUGAUGGUCUCAUCUGAGCAAAUUGGCCUGGGUUUCUUCUAGGACUGAACCCCCACAGGGUUGGGUUGUUGGUUGUCUAGUACAGUCCACACAGGGCUGUUGGCUGUCUAGUGCUAUCCACAUAGGACCCUAAACCACGGAGAAAGACUGUUACAUCAAGACCUGACCGAAGCUUAUAACAGUCCACACGAUCAGCUGAUCUUCAAUGUUCAUUGUUUUGUUAUUUGUUGAUUAUCAUUGUACUAUUUAUUUUAUUUUUAUUAGUCAUCUGCAAUUUUUAUUACUAUGAAUUAAAAUUAAAGACACAUUUUUAAAUAUAUUAUC